CUACAUUUCCCAUCUGCCCUGGCUAUCACAGGCUAAUAGCACCAGCUGCUUUCCAUUGCCCUAAGGAGUGAUUCUACUGCGGCAACGAGACCAAAUACAACGAAAGUAUUGAUGCUGUAAAAGAAGACGGAUCUUUUGGUAGGCUGGUUAAUGAUGACCACAAGCACCCAAAUGGCAGAAUGCAGAAGACUGAAGUGGAUGGAAGCCCACAUCUUGGUCUGUUUGCUUUAACAGACUUUAAAGAAGGUGAUGAAAUUACCUGCAAUUACAGAGGAGGAGACUGGCCUUGGUGUAGCAAGGUAAAACAUCUACUCUGAAAAAGAGGAAGGCUCAGGAAGGAAAUGAGGUCCAUGCAGUGGAGAGACAUAUGAAGACCUUCAUCAUGUCAUGUCGUGUCCCAGGGAAGUUGGUCUGUGAAAACUGCAUUAGAUCUGAGUCUUUAUAUCUUAAAGAUAGAGACUGGCAAAGUGUCAAAUUCUACGUCUAUAACUGCACUGUAGCUUACAAAAGAGAUAUAAACAAAUAUUAAAUAACACUUUGAUAGUAACACUUUACAUCUAUAUUACAGAUACUGUACAUCAUAACAUCUGUAGUAAUGCUUUAAUAAUAAGUUACGUUACACCUCUAGCCUUUUACUUUGUAAUGAACCACUCAGCAUUUACUUCAUCAUAAACUAAUCAGGAACAAAUCAGGCAUUUAAAAUAUCCAUUAGAAUCUUUACCUACACCGUUAUAUUGAAUUAGAUCAAAUUGGUUUGGGCCGCCUUCUUCCAGUGGGUCCUUAUGCAGGUGACUGACAAGUUCAUGAGUAAGCCUAUUGGGCAAUAAAAGCUUCAGUGUGCUGCUCAUUUACAUGUUUAGACUGUCUGGAAUCAAAAUUAGCUACCUCAACAUAUAUUAUUAAGUUGUUACUGUCACUUUUUAGCUUAGUCAGUUAAGUGGAUAUAGAAUAAAGAAAUAUAUUGUGUUUAUGACAUUUGGUUGUGUGUCUGUGUUUGGCUAGUAUCUUUAUUUUUCUCAAUAUGUUUAACUUUGAGCUGGCUAUAUGUAGUAAGCACAAGUGUUAUGUCAAACUUAAAUGAGUCCAAGUUCAUUCAUGGCACAUGUGAGCUUAGUGGUUGUGCACUUUAAUGGGCAAAUAUUUGUUGUCUUUUACAGUAAAGAAGCUCAAGACUCAAGUUGUCUUUAUAAUGUUGAAUAGACAGGGUUUUUUCAUCUGACUGACAAUUUUUCACUUGAUUAGAGAUCCAGACCAAUAAACAAAUACUUUGUGUAGCUAAAAUAUCAAAAGGAUGAGUUUCUUUGUCAUUUUGACUUGCCAAAAUGACUGGGGAUAGUGUUAAUUUGUGAUGCAUGCCUGUGAUAAAUAAGUGAGGUUCAGUACAGCUAGCACCUCUACGUUCUAUUCCACAAAAAAAAAUUGUAUACUUUGGAGCAGGAAAUGAAAAGCUUCUUAGAAUUAUAGCCUCAAAACUAAUAAUAGCACUGGUACCACCUUCCUUAACAAGUUCCUAGGUUUCUCAAAGGGUUCCUCUGUUGGAAAUAGAAAACUCCAAAAAAAAAUUUAGUCUGUUAUCUUUUACAUGCAGAUAUUGAAAUUUGUGUAAGAGAGCUUUUUGAAACCAAACUUUCACUGAUUGCAUAUUUCACAAAUAAGGCUAAGAGUCCUUCGUAUAAACAAUUAAGAACAACUGUUCAAUUUAAUUUCAUGAGAAGCUUAAACCUUCAAAUAGAGAAAAUACACAUCAUAUCUGCUUUACAGACAGCUCUCUAAAUUAGACAUACUUAGUUUGUAAUUUUGUAUAAAUAAUUAUAGAGUUAAAUUGACAACUUUGUUUUUUAAAACCAUGUCCCCUUGUUGAACUACCUGAUCUGUGUGUAUGCAGAUUAACUAUGUAGUGAUGUCCCCACUACAACAUGAAAACCAGCUAAUUUUCUGUGUAUGAAAAUUAGCUAUCUAGUGAUGUCCCCACUACAACAUGAAAACCAGCUAAUUUGCUGUGCAUGCAAAUUAG